GACGAACGCUGGCGGCGUGCCUAAUACAUGCAAGUCGAGCGGACGAAUCGAAAGCUUGCUUUUGAUUCGUUAGCGGCGGACGGGUGAGUAACACGUGGGCAACCUGCCCUGUAGACGGGGAUAACACCGAGAAAUCGGUGCUAAUACCGGAUAACACGAAAUGUCGCAUGACGUUUCGUUGAAAGACGGCGCAAGCUGUCGCUACAGGAUGGGCCCGCGGCGCAUUAGCUAGUUGGUGAGGUAACGGCUCACCAAGGCGACGAUGCGUAGCCGGCCUGAGAGGGUGAGCGGCCACACUGGGACUGAGACACGGCCCAGCCUCCUACGGGAGGCAGCAGUAGGGAAUCUUCCGCAAUGGACGAAAGUCUGACGGAGCAACGCCGCGUGAGCGAAGAAGGCCUUCGGGUCGUAAAGCUCUGUUGUUAGGGAAGAACAAGUAACGCAGUAACUGGCGUUACCGUGACGGUACCUAACGAGAAAGCCACGGCUAACUACGUGCCAGCCGCCGCCGUAA
rnacentral:rRNA from 1 species